UGGGGAAUAUUGGACAAUGGGCGCAAGCCUGAUCCAGCCAUGCCGCGUGAGUGAUGAAGGCCCUAGGGUUGUAAAGCUCUUUCAGCGGGGAAGAUAAUGACGGUACCCGCAGAAGAAGCCCCGGCUAACUUCGUG
rnacentral:rRNA from 1 species